AUGCCUAUUGAAAAAGAAUUAAUAUGCAGGGGUAUUGAUUAUUUGCAAUCACUAUGCUUCAUUUCUGGAGAUUUGUUGGGAUUGCUUCUGAGAAUAAAAUGUUUUCCUCUCUAUUUUGAUUGGUGUUUUUCAAAGCUACUAAAGUAUUGUUAUUCUUUUGAAGGGGGAUGCUACCUCGAAGAGCUUGCUGUCCAGCCUGCGGAGGGACUUUCUCAGCUAUCGCCUGUUGUCGAGGAAGGAAUAGAAGAGUGA